rnacentral:other from 1 species
UGCUUCCUGGUUUAUACGCUAGUUGGUGGUACCCUCGAGCCGAUAUGAUAUUACUAGGAGGUUUUGNNAGGUCUUGUUGAGCNUGCCCAUAUUCUUGGGAGACCUGAUAGACNGACAAAACCACCGCCUUGAACCUUUUGGUUCAGGGNUCAUCNAUAAUGGUAAUCUGGGAAGCAN